GACGAACGCUGGCGGCGCGCUUAACACAUGCAAGUCGAACGGAAAGGCCUGCUUUCCCUUGUGGAUUGCGGGUACUCGAGUGGCGAACGGGUGAGUAACACGUGAGUGAUCUGCCCCCAACUUGGGUAUAAGCCUGGGAAACUGGGUCUAAUUCCCGAUAGGACUGCAGGGUGGUGCCUGUGGUGGAAAACGAUUUUCUAGUGGUUGGGGAUGAGCUCGCGGCCUAUCAGCUUGUUGGUGGGGUAAUGGCCUACCAAGGCGGCGACGGGUAGCCGGCCUGAGAGGGUGGACGGCCCCAUUGGGACUGGGAUACGGCCCCGACUCCUACGGGAGGCAGCAGUGGGGAAUAUUGCACAAUGGGCGGAAGCCUGAUGCAGCGACGCCGCGUGGGGGAUGACGGCCUUCGGGUUGUAAACUCCUUUCGACCGCGAGGAAGCCACCUGGUUGGAAGGGUGGUGACGGUAGUGGUAGAAGAAGCACCGGCUAACUACGUG
rnacentral:rRNA from 1 species